UGUGCAUUGAUGCCACUGAUCCGGAG
rnacentral:piRNA from 1 species